rnacentral:lncRNA from 1 species
CAGUUUGAUAGAUGAAUGCCCUAGAAAUCAAUCUUGACUGAUGCAUAUAAUAUUUUUAGGAUAUGAUUUUACACUAAAUGGAUAGUUAUAUUACUAUUCAUAUUUUAUAUGUCCAUUAAUUAUCCAAAGGACUAACAAGAUGUUGACAUAUAUUCUCAAAGAGUUGAGAAUUUGAGACAUGUGUCAUUGAUGGUUAAUUUCUAAAUUACUCCUGAUCAUAGG